rnacentral:rRNA from 1 species
GACGAACGCUGGCGGCGUGCUUAACACAUGCAAGUCGAGCGGUAAGGCCCUUUCGGGGGUACACGAGCGGCGAACGGGUGAGUGACACGUGGGUGACCUGCCUCUAGCUCUGGGAUAAGCCUGGGAAGCUGGGUCUAAUACCGGAUAUGACCUCGCGGUGCAUGUUGCGGGGUGGAAAGCCUUGUGCGGCUAGGGAUGGGCCCGCGGCCUAUCAGCUUGUUGGUGGGGNGAUGGCCUACCAAGGCGACGACGGGUAGCCGGCCUGAGAGGGCGACCGGCCACACUGGGACUGAGACACGGCCCAGACUCCUACGGGAGGCAGCAGUGGGGAAUCUUGCGCAAUGGGCGAAAGCCUGACGCAGCGACGCCGCGUGA